ACACCCCCUCUUCCUCCCCUCCGCGGGUCCUGCUUUUCGCAUCACACACACUAUAUAAAUACACGCGGAGAUGCCCAGAUACAUUCAUGCGCUGCGCCCACAGGAUACUUGCUCCCGGGAGAUAACAGCGAGCUGGGAACAAUGCCGGGGUCCACGCCCAGCGCCCGCGCCCUGAUUCCCGCAGUCUGCAUGCCUCCCCCCACACCUUCCCCCAAAGUCCAACACCGAACGCCUUUGGCCUCCUUCCUUUCCAGGGGCCGUUGGCCGAAGGUGGCCCUCCUGACUCAUUCACUUUCCGUUUCUUCCCACAGAUACGUUCAUUAAUGUUUUUUCCAGCCGAGUCAAACUUUUUCUGGGGUUGGGGGGUAGGCGGGGGGCGGGAGAGUUUACUCGGGCUGGGGAUAACCUGGAGCCUACUGCCCGGGAAGAUCCGGACGCAGACCGAAGCCGACCGACCAUUAGAAAGUGCGUCCAAUGGGAAUUUUUCCACUCGGGCCCUCGGCUGCGGAGUCGCGCAGACUCCCGGAGCGGCUCACCCAUCGACGCGGACUCGGGGCGGUUUCGGACGGACCCCGGCAGUCGGGGGCGUGGACUCGGCUCCCAGCGAGCUGUGAGCGGAGGGACGCACGCGGGGAGGAGCGCCUCGGCCCCUCUGCUACUGGGGAGGUCCCGGCGCCCGCCGAGGGCCGGGACCUGCGGCACCCCAGACCACUGCUUCGCGCCUUCUAGGGUCAACUCCCUGGCACAUACCCCAACCCGAUGGCCCAAGCCCUGGCACUCGGGUCAAAGCCGCCUAUGCAAUGCCACCUUGGGCCCCAAGAAACCUACACUACGGAGAGACGAUCCCUCCAGGCUGGCCGGCGGGUCUCCAAAGCACAGCAGGCAACAUCCCCACACCGACCCAGACUUCUCCCGGGUUACCUUGUCCACGCUCUCCAGACCACGCUUUGGACUUUCUCACUUUUAUUUAAGAGUCCACCCGGAGAAAGAGGAAAAAAAAAUCCAGAGGAGAUCCGAGUCAAUUGGAAAGAAAAAUUUUCAAAAGGGUGUCCACAGCGGCGGAAAAGACACGGGUCUGAACGUGACCAGACCUGGAGUGGCGGGUGCAGCUUGCCAGCAAUUGUGACUCGGUCCCAGACUCUGCCGACCUUCAAACGACAACAAGGCUUUCAGAAGGGAGCGGGGAAACCGCUUCCCACACGGACCUGACCAGAAACCCGGCACCCCCGGCCACAUUCCCCCUCUUUCAGGCAGAGAGAACUCCAGUCUACCGCCGGAGG